rnacentral:ncRNA from 1 species
AAUAUGGCAUUGAAGAAGAGAAGUAACUUAUUUUCCGCACAAAAGAGAGCUGAUGGUUGGUGUGAAUCAGUGUGCAACAUAAGUGAAUGGACUUCUGAGCCCCCAAACCGAACGUUUAUCCAGUAGGCUUUGGCGAGAGAUCCACUCGUUGCAAACGGAUCGUGUUAAGUGAACAAUACUUGAUGCGACAAGAGAGCUGUUUCAACAGCUAACAAAGGUGGUACCACGGGUUUCCUCGUCCUUUUC